CCUACGGGUGGCAGCAGUGGGGAAUAUUGGACAAUGGGCGAAAGCCUGAUCCAGCCAUGCCGCGUGUGUGAAGAAGGCCUUCGGGUUGUAAAGCACUUUCAGUGGGGAAGAAAGCCUUGGGGCUAAUACCCUCGAGGAAGGACAUCACCCACAGAAGAAGCACCGGCUAACUCCGUGCCAGCAGCCGCGGUAAUACGGAGGGUGCGAGCGUUAAUCGGAAUUACGGGGCGUAAAGCGCGCGUAGGCGGUCUGAUAAGCCGGUUGUGAAAGCCCCGGGCUCAACCUGGGAACGGCAUCCGGAACUGUCAGGCUAGAGUGCAGGAGAGGAAGGUAGAAUUCCCGGUGUAGCGGUGAAAUGCGUAGAGAGCGGGAGGAAUACCAGUGGCGAAGGCGGCCUUCUGGACUGACACUGACGCUGAGGUGCGAAAGCGUGGGUAGCAAACAGGAUUAGAUACCCCAGUAGUC
rnacentral:rRNA from 1 species